UCAACAAACAACAAACACAUCAUUAUCAUUAUUACUGCUACUAUUUCUACUACUAACUACUAAUACUACUAUUAACAUCAUUAUUCUGCUUAUUUUCAUUCUUUUUCAAAUAAUGCAAGAAUGAAAUAGAAUGAAUGAAUGAAUGAUGUUUAAUAGAUUAAUAGAUGAAUAGUUAGUUGUAGUUAGUAGUUAGUUAGAUAGAUAGAUAAAUGAAAUGAUGAUGAUAAGCGAAUGUAUUUAUUCAUAUGAAUUGAAUAUAAACGGUGAUAUUCGUUGGUGUCUAUAUUUUAUCUAAGUUAUCGCCUAACCGUCGAUAGCGAUGAAGAUAAAAUGAUAGCUUAAUUGAUGAUGAUAGCUCAAUUAAGUAGACUUAAUAAGCAUUUUAGCUAGUAUGCUACCAACAAAAUAAUACACACACACAUACAAUAAUACGAUAUAAUUGUUAUUUAUAAUAAUUUUUCAA
rnacentral:misc_RNA from 1 species